rnacentral:misc_RNA from 1 species
GUGAAUCAUCGAAUUUUUGAACGCAAAUUGCGCUUCCUGGUAUCCCGGGAAGUAUGCCUGUUUGAGGGUCAGUAUUAACAAAAAAUCGGUUUGGUUGCAAAUUGUGACGUUUCCGGAGUUUGGGCUUAUCUUAACUUUUUUGGUUAAGGGGUUAAAAUUUGACUUUUUUGGUGAUUUUUAAGAGGACCUUAAUUUUUUUUUAUUGGUUUAUUUUUAUUCCAAAAUCUUAAUUAGUUCCGU